rnacentral:rRNA from 1 species
AUUGAACGCUGGCGGCGUGCUUAACACAUGCAAGUCGAUCGGUAACAGGUGUAGCAAUACAUGCUGACGAGAGGCGGACGGGUGAGUAAUGCUUGGGAAUCUGCCUAUUAGUGGGGGACAACCCGGGGAAACUCGGGCUAAUACCGCAUACGCUCUACGGAGGAAAGCCGGGGACCGCAAGGCCUGGCGCUAAUAGAUGAGCCCAAGUCGGAUUAGCUAGUUGGUAGGGAACGGCCUACCAAGGCGACAAUCCGUAGCUGGUCUGAGAGGACGACCAGCCACACCGGAACUGAGACACGGUCCGGACUCCUACGGGAGGCAGCAGUGGGGAAUAUUGGACAAUGGGGGCAACCCUGAUCCAGCGACGCCGCGUGGGUGAAGAAGGCCUGCGGGUUGUAAAGCCC